rnacentral:rRNA from 1 species
GACGUAGGGGGCGAGCGUUGUCCGGAUUUAUUGGGCGUAAAGAGCUCGUAGGCGGCUCGUCGCGUCGACCGUGAAAACCCGCGGCUUAACUGCGGGCUUGCGGUUGAUACGGGCGGUCUAGAGUUCGGUAGGGGAGACUGGAAUUCCUGGUGUAGCGGUGAAAUGCGCAGAUAUCAGGAGGAACACCGGUGGCGAAGGCGGGUCUCUGGGCCGAUACUGACGCUGAGGAGCGAAAGCGUGGGGAGCGAACAGG